GAUGAACGCUAGCUACAGGCUUAACACAUGCAAGUCGAGGGACCGGCGCACGGGUGAGUAACACGUAUCCAACCUGCCCUUUACCCUGGGAUAGCCUUUCGACAGAAAGAUUAAUACCCGAUAUAAUGGAUGGGGAUGCGUUCCAUUAGGUUGUUGGUGAGGUAACGGAUCACCAAGCCUUCGAUGGAUAGGGGUGCUGAGAGGAAGGUCCCCCACAAUGGAACUGGGACACGGUCCAAACUGCUACGGGGGGCAGCAGUUAGGAAUAUUGGUCAAUGAGGGCUAGCCUGAACCAGCCAAGUAGGGUGAAGGAUGAAGGCUUAUGGAUCGUAAACUUCUUGUAUAUAAGAAUAUGUAUUAUAUGAAUAAGGAUCGGCUAACUCCGUGCCAGCAGCCGCGGGAAUUC
rnacentral:rRNA from 1 species